GUUGGAUAUAGGCACAUUGAUUGUGCUUAAGUUUACGACAAUGAGAAGGAGGUGUACUGAUCACAUGCCAGAAGAUAUACCAAAGGCAUUAGAUAAAACCUUGCAGGACUUGCAACUUGACUAUGGGGAUCUGUAUCUAAUCCACUGGGCAGCGACUGUAUCGAAGGCUAUCGGCUUUGGGAGCCAGCGGAGGGAGCGUGGCAGAGACGUUAAAUGGUUACGUCCACAAUGGCAAUUCCGUCCAUAAAGCAACUCUCAAAAAGUGUGUUAAGGAGCUCCGCAAGUACGGCAGGUUUCAACAUGCCCUCCAGCAGGUUAAUGUGACAAUAUAUGGUUGGGAUAUAAUUAGGAAAGCGCUGUUCUUGGUUCGGUGACCAUUCAAGUUGAAAGUGAAGGUCAAACUGGUGCAGUAUGGCAUACAUUGGAUAGCACGUCAGGGCAGGUUUGUCUGGACAUUAGAACAAUAAAACUGUCCGCAAAUUCUCUCGGGUAGCUUUUUGUUGUACUUUUUCUAAAAAUGUUUUGCGUUUAAUUAUAUUGGUUGACUCAUCAAUCUCUCUCUCUAAAUAUAGACACACACAUAUGUAAUCCCAAAUUGAACUGUUUUUGGGGUACAUGGCUUUGUACUUGUGCAGAGAAUGUACCCUCGUUUUGGAAAUUUUAUGUGUUUUGCAUCCUGGAAAUUGUUAUAGAACGUUUUUAUAUUGUUUGUACUUUAAUCUUGUUAAAUUUGUGAUGCAAUC